AUUUAUGUAGUAUAAAAGUAUAUAUGACUUCCAAUCAUAAGGUUUAUUAAAUUAAUAACAUAAAUA
rnacentral:tRNA from 1 species